CACCAUUCUAACUAAUCUUGUUAAUUUCUCUCUCAUAAACCAAAUGCUCCGGCUUUUCUCUGGCAAUCGUUUCUCAAUGUUGUUCUAGGGGGAGCUCCGGCGGUCAGAUCAUCAAUUCUCUCCCUAACCCUCUCUUUAGAUAGCAUUUUUUCUAAUUUUUCAUCUAAUUUUUUUCAUCUCUCCUAGUUUUCAGUCUUCUUUUAAAGGUAAAGUACCCUUCUUCUGGACGGAAAUUUUGCGUUUUUCAGUUGAGUUUGUUUAAAGUUUUGCAUAUGGCAGUUGGCUCUAGUGAUAUAUGGGGUGAAGCUGUUGGAAGCUUCAUCGACUGGAAAUCAUGGAGGUGGGCAAGCUCUUUCCCAGUUCGUCCAGCGUGGUUUUAAUCCCUAGAUGCUCUCUGGUUUUUUGCUUUUCUCCUGAUUUUCAUAUGGGUUUGAUAAUAUUGAGCAGGGGAAAUUUUGGGUUGUAUGGGUGCCAUUAGUAUUUGAUAUAAUGUUGAUGUUCUUCCCUUGCAUGUUUAUUUUAAACUGGCCUUGCAAAUUCCUUGUUUCAAGGCCGGUGAACU
rnacentral:misc_RNA from 1 species